rnacentral:rRNA from 1 species
GUGUCAGCAGCCGCGGUAAUACAGAGGGUGCGAGCGUUAAUCGGAUUUACUGGGCGUAAAGCGUGCGUAGGCGGCUUUUUAAGUCGGAUGUGAAAUCCCUGAGCUUAACUUAGGAAUUGCAUUCGAUACUGGGAAGCUAGAGUAUGGGAGAGGAUGGUAGAAUUCCAGGUGUAGCGGUGAAAUGCGUAGAGAUCUGGAGGAAUACCGAUGGCGAAGGCAGCCAUCUGGCCUAAUACUGACGCUGAGGUACGAAAGCAUGGGGAGCAAACAGGAUUAGAAACCCCCGUAGUCC